rnacentral:rRNA from 1 species
GACGAACGCUGGCGGCGUGCUUAACACAUGCAAGUCGAACGGAAAGGCCCUGCUUGCGGGGUACUCGAGUGGCGAACGGGUGUGUAACACGUGGGUGAUCUGCCCUGCACUUCGGGAUAAGCCUGGGAAACUGGGUCUAAUACCGGAUAGGAGCCAUUUUUAGUGUGAUGGUUGGAAAGUUUUUUCGGUGUAGGAUGAGCUCGCGGCCUAUCAGCUUGUUGGUGGGGUAAUGGCCUACCAAGGCGGCGACGGGUAGCCGGCCUGAGAAGGUGGACGGCCACAUUGGGACUGGGAUACGGCCCAGACUCCUACGGGAGGCAGCAGUGGGGAAUAUUGCACAAUGGGCGCAAGCCUGAUGCAGCGACGCCGCGGGGGGGAUGACGGCCUUCGGGUUGUAAACUCCUUUCGCUAGGGACGAAGCUUUUUGUGACGGUACCUAGAUAAGAAGCACCGGCUAACUACGUG